CGGUGUGCCUAAUACAUGCAAGUCGUACGCACUGGCCCAACUGAUUGAUGGUGCUUGCACCGGAUUGACGAUGGAUCACCAGUGAGUGGCGGACGGGUGAGUAACACGUAGGUAACCUGCCCCGGAGCGGGGGAUAACAUUUGGAAACAGAUGCUAAUACCGCAUAACAACAAAAGCCACAUGGCUUUUGUUUGAAAGAUGGCUUUGGCUAUCACUCUGGGAUGGACCUGCGGUGUAUUAGCUAGUUGGUAAGGUAACGGCUUACCAAGGCGAUGAUGCAUAGCCGAGUUGAGAGACUGAUCGGCCACAAUGGAACUGAGACACGGUCCAUACUCCUACGGGAGGCAGCAGUAGGGAAUCUUCCACAAUGGGCGCAAGCCUGAUGGAGCAACACCGCGUGAGUGAAGAAGGGUUUCGGCUCGUAAAACUCUGUUGUUGGAGAAGAACGUGCGUGAGAGUAACUGUUCACGCAGUGACGGUAUCCAACCAGAAAGUCACGGCUAACUACGUGCCAGCAGCCGCGGUAAUACGUAGGUGGCAAGCGUUAUCCGGAUUUAUUGGGCGUAAAGCGAGCGCAGGCGGUUGCUUAGGUCUGAUGUGAAAGCCUUCGGCUUAACCGAAGAAGUGCAUCGGAAACCGGGCGACUUGAGUGCAGAAGAGGACAGUGGAACUCCAUGUGUAGCGGUGGAAUGCGUAGAUAUAUGGAAGAACACCAGUGGCGAAGGCGUCUGUCUGGUCUGCAACUGACGCUGAGGCUCGAAAGCAUGGGUAGCGAACAGGAUUAGAUACCCUGGUAGUCCAUGCCGUAAACGAUGAGUGCUAGGUGUUGGAGGGUUUCCGCCCUUCAGUGCCGGAGCUAACGCAUUAAACACUCCGCCUGGGGAGUACGACCGCAAGGUUGAAACUCAAAGGAAUUGACGGGGGCCCGCACAAGCGGUGGAGCAUGUGGUUUAAUUCGAAGCUACGCGAAGAACCUUACCAGGUCUUGACAUCUUGCGCUAACCUUAGAGAUAAGGCGUUCCCUUCGGGGACGCAAUGACAGGUGGUGCAUGGUCGUCGUCAGCUCGUGUCGUGAGAUGUUGGGUUAAGUCCCGCAACGAGCGCAACCCUUGUUACUAGUUGCCAGCAUUAAGUUGGGCACUCUAGUGAGACUGCCGGUGACAAACCGGAGGAAGGUGGGGACGACGUCAGAUCAUCAUGCCCCUUAUGACCUGGGCUACACACGUGCUACAAUGGACGGUACAACGAGUCGCAAACUCGCGAGAGUAAGCUAAUCUCUUAAAGCCGUUCUCAGUUCGGACUGUAGGCUGCAACUCGCCUACACGAAGUCGGAAUCGCUAGUAAUCGCGGAUCAGAAUGCCGCGGUGAAUACGUUCCCGGGUC
rnacentral:rRNA from 1 species